CCUACGGGCGGCAGCAGUAGGGAAUAUUGCUCAAUGGGGGAAACCCUGAAGCAGCAACGCCGCGUGGAGGGAGGAAGGUACAGAGUAUCGUAAACCUCUUUUGUCAGGGAACAAAGACUGGGACGCGUCCCCGGAUGAGUGUACCUGAAGAAAAAGCAUCGGCUAACUCCGUGCCAGCAGCCGCGGUAAUACGGAGGAUGCGAGCGUUAUCCGGAUUUAUUGGGUUUAAAGGGUGCGCAGGCGGUCUGUUAAGUCAGCGGUCAACGCCCGGGGCUCAACCCCGGCCCGCCGUUGAAACUGGCAGUCUCGAGUUGGAGAGAAGUAUGCGGAAUGCGCGGUGUAGCGGUGAAAUGCAUAGAUAUCGCGCAGAACUCCGAUUGCGAAGGCAGCAUGCCGGCUCCACACUGACGCUGAGGCACGAAAGCGUGGGUAUCGAACAGGAUUAGAUACCCUAGUAGUC
rnacentral:rRNA from 1 species